UACGUAGGGUGCGAGCGUUGUCCGGAAUUAUUGGGCGUAAAGGGCUCGUAGGCGGUCUGUUGCGUCAGGAGUGAAAACUCGGGGCUUAACCCCGAGCCUGCUUCUGAUACGGGCAGACUAGAGGUAUGCAGGGGAGAACGGAAUUCCUGGUGUAGCGGUGAAAUGCGCAGAUAUCAGGAGGAACACCGGUGGCGAAGGCGGCAUCCUGGACCGGUAUUGACGCUGAGGCGCGAAAGCUAGGGGAGCAAACGGG
rnacentral:rRNA from 1 species